UUGCGAAGGCACGCGUACCAUGCAGUCGAACGGUGAAGCCCAGCUUGCUGGGUGGAUCAGUGGCGAACGGGUGAGUAACACGUGAGCAAUCUGCCCCUGACUCUGGGAUAAGCGCUGGAAACGGCGUCUAAUACUGGAUACGAGCCGUGAAGGCAUCUUCAACGGUUGGAAAGAUUUUUCGGUCAGGGAUGAGCUCGCGGCCUAUCAGCUUGUUGGUGAGGUAAUGGCUCACCAAGGCGUCGACGGGUAGCCGGCCUGAGAGGGUGACCGGCCACACUGGGACUGAGACACGGCCCAGACUCCUACGGGAGGCAGCAGUGGGGAAUAUUGCACAAUGGGCGCAAGCCUGAUGCAGCAACGCCGCGUGAGGGAUGACGGCCUUCGGGUUGUAAACCUCUUUUAGCAGGGAAGAAGCGAAAGUGACGGUACCUGCAGAAAAAGCGCCGGCUAACUACGUGCCAGCAGCCGCGGUAAUACGUAGGGCGCAAGCGUUAUCCGGAAUUAUUGGGCGUAAAGAGCUCGUAGGCGGUUUGUCGCGUCUGCUGUGAAAUCCCGAGGCUCAACCUCGGGUCUGCAGUGGGUACGGGCAGACUAGAGUGCGGUAGGGGAGAUUGGAAUUCCUGGUGUAGCGGUGGAAUGCGCAGAUAUCAGGAGGAACACCGAUGGCGAAGGCAGAUCUCUGGGCCGUAACUGACGCUGAGGAGCGAAAGGGUGGGGAGCAAACAGGCUUAGAUACCCUGGUAGUCCACCCCGUAAACGUUGGGAACUAGUUGUGGGGUCCAUUCCACGGAUUCCGUGACGCAGCUAACGCAUUAAGUUCCCCGCCUGGGGAGUACGGCCGCAAGGCUAAAACUCAAAGGAAUUGACGGGGACCCGCACAAGCGGCGGAGCAUGCGGAUUAAUUCGAUGCAACGCGAAGAACCUUACCAAGGCUUGACAUACACGAGAACGCUGCAGAAAUGUAGAACUCUUUGGACACUCGUGAACAGGUGGUGCAUGGUUGUCGUCAGCUCGUGUCGUGAGAUGUUGGGUUAAGUCCCGCAACGAGCGCAACCCUCGUUCUAUGUUGCCAGCACGUAAUGGUGGGAACUCAUGGGAUACUGCCGGGGUCAACUCGGAGGAAGGUGGGGAUGACGUCAAAUCAUCAUGCCCCUUAUGUCUUGGGCUUCACGCAUGCUACAAUGGCCGGUACAAAGGGCUGCGAUACCGUAAGGUGGAGCGAAUCCCAAAAAGCCGGUCCCAGUUCGGAUUGAGGUCUGCAACUCGACCUCAUGAAGUCGGAGUCGCUAGUAAUCGCAGAUCAGCAACGCUGCGGUGAAUACGUUCCCGGGUCUUGUACACACCGCCCGUCAAGUCAUGAAAGUCGGUAACACCUGAAGCCGGUGGCCCAACCCUUGUGGAGGAGCCGUCGAAUGAGAAUGAGCC
rnacentral:rRNA from 1 species